rnacentral:rRNA from 1 species
CAGUCGGCUACGAGGACGAACGCUGGCGGCGCGCUUAAUACAUGCAAGUCGAACGAGAAGCCAGAGCUUGCUCUGGUGGAAAGUGGCGAACGGGUGAGUAACACGUGAGAAACCUGCCCCAAAGAUUGGGAUAAGCCUUGGAAACGAGGUCUAAUACCAAAUACCUUCUUUUAACACAUGUUAAAAAGAGAAAUGCUCCGGCGCUUUGGGAUGGUCUCGCGAUCUAUCAGCUUGUUGGUGAGGUAACGGCUCACCAAGGCAUCGACGGAUAGCUGGUCUGAGAGGAUGUCCAGCCACAUUGGAACUGAGACACGGUCCAAACUCCUACGGGAGGCAGCAGUAGGGAAUCUUGCACAAUGAGGGAAACCUUGAUGCAGCGACGCCGCGUGCGGGACGAAGGCCCUAGGGUUGUAAACCGCUUUCAGUAGGGACGAAAGUGACGGUACCUACAGAAGAAGCCCCGGCCAACUAUGUG